rnacentral:lncRNA from 1 species
GCUAAUCCGGCUAAUUAGUUCAGUGCUGGAUGACACGGCUAUGGUUAGGUAGCUGGGAUGAACCCGAUUUGCUACAAAACGUGAAACGGGUCAGGGGCCGUGGUGACCUGAUGCAAAUUAAGAAAGAAAUUAACACCUAUAGCUGUAAAUGAAGGUUCCUUUUCACCUGUUUUACAGGCCGUAAUGUUAUGGUUGGAGAGGCUAAAAGAAGCAGAGUAACAAUUAUAGAGCUGCUACAACAAAGCCUAGAACAACAUGCUGCAAGUGUACUGUUUUCUUCAACUAUAACCAACAAAAGGACCGUCAUAUAAGAUAUCGGAUUUACUUCGUAUCUGCCAACAAUUUAAAAAUGGAUGCAAUGUUUUUUUACACCCUUAACCUACGUACAAGCUGUCUCAUUUAAAUCUAUUUCUUAGUAAUAUGUCAACCCGCAUCUUUUGUUUUGUACAUAAUCAUAUCGCUCUACGGACUACAUGUUAAUAGC